UGAAGAGUUUGAUCAUGGCUCAGAUUGAACGCUGGCGGCAGGCCUAACACAUGCAAGUCGAACGGUAACAGGAAGCAGCUUGCUGCUUUGCUGACGAGUGGCGGACGGGUGAGUAAUGUCUGGGAAACUGCCUGAUGGAGGGGGAUAACUACUGGAAACGGUGGCUAAUACCGCAUAACGUCGCAAGACCAAAGAGGGGGACCUUCGGGCCUCUUGCCAUCAGAUGUGCCCAGAUGGGAUUAGCUUGUUGGUGAGGUAACGGCUCACCAAGGCGACGAUCCCUAGCUGGUCUGAGAGGAUGACCAGCCACACUGGAACUGAGACACGGUCCAGACUCCUACGGGAGGCAGCAGUGGGGAAUAUUGCACAAUGGGCGCAAGCCUGAUGCAGCCAUGCCGCGUGUAUGAAGAAGGCCUUCGGGUUGUAAAGUACUUUCAGCGGGGAGGAAGGUGUUGUGGUUAAUA
rnacentral:rRNA from 2 species